CCCCAUCAUAGCUGCCACGAGCUGUAGUGUGACUUUUGUGCCCUUUUCCCUGCUGAGUGCAUCCCAGACUGGACACUAUUAAACUUUCAGCAGGGAUAGGGCUACCUGUGCCUUGAGUGCUGUGUCUGGCAUGGGGACACUGACCAAUAAGCAACAGGUGUAUUGAUCCCAGAGAGAGAGAGAGACAGCUUUGGCAGUGGCAGUUGCAGCCGUCUUCAGAGACAGUUGGCAGUUGGGCAGCAGCCAUCUUAGAGGGACUCAGAGCAGCAACUUGGAGCAGAGGCAGCUGCUGGUGUGUGACAGGAGUGCUGUACAGCUUAUGUAAAGCCAGUUUCGAUUCCCCUGACCGGAGAUCCUUAUAAGAUAUCUGUUACUGACCUCCCGCAGCAGCAGCCCUGUCAGAGACACAGUCAGUUAACUAGUGCAAACACCAGAUACAGUGUUAUAGAGCCACCUCAACGCAUUGCUGCUGCCAGCCAUAUACCCUAAUGACUUUGCCCCUGCAUCUCAUAUAAGCUCUGUAGUCUUGAGCCAUCCUCAGUAUAAUUGAGCUAUCAAGGUCUCAUUUGAAAAUUAGGAAGAGUGAGUAACGUGAACAGUACCCAUGUCUAGUGAGUCUGCUUAAGCAUAAGUCAGAAGACAAAGGAUUGUAGUAGCAAACACUAAACUCAUAAGACGUCUACAAAGAUGAGGAGCUAUAGUUUAUCAAUAGUAUAAGUAAUAAAGACGCCUGUAACUUCUGAGUCGCCAUUCCUGCUACCUGAACCUUUCCGCAUUGCUGCCAGUGAUAACGAGAAUUGCAAUAAGCUGAGAAUCUACUGAUUGUAUAGCUCCUUUUGCUCUAUCAACGGACAGACAUAAGUAGAGCAGGAUUACCAAGUUGUUAUGUUGUGACUGGAAUUAAUUACACCAUUAUUCCCACAACACCACUGCAAGCGGAUAGGGAUUUAGAAUAGGACUCAAUUGUUUCUGUUCAAACUCUUUGGAGAUUUAUAACUAGAACUAGAACAGAGACGAGUGCAGGACUCUUGUAGCGGGGAUUUACUUCUCAUCCCAUUGGUCCCACGAUGUCUUCACCCUAUGUGCACCAACAAGGUAGUAAGAGUACUCAGACUGAGGUGUUGAAGUGUUAGGGGAACCCCUUCCCUUAAGGUCGUGGAUUCUGUAUGCUGAAGCUUGGGGCUCCUCUAUUUUGCUAUUUCGUAGAGAACCAACACAUCUUUUAAGUUCCCCACUCUAAAAUGGCUACGGAGUAGUGCGCCAGUGGGAGGACCAAUAAGAAUCUGCAAUCUCAGCGGCCGUUGGAAUAAUGAGGGUGCCAUGAUGAAAAUAACUGUAUUGCAGAGCCCAGGGCACAGAUUGCCAUCGUCUGGUGAUUUGUUUUCAUUCUACCUUCUGGGAGUCAUGACCUCUACAAGUCAGGCCAUUUAGGGAAAGAAUUUCAGGUUUGAGAAUACACACAGUAAACAAGUAACAGGGAUUAUUACCUGCAGAUCGCUAUACUCUACAUUACGGAAGUGAAGAUCAGAACGCCUACACUAGUGUCUUUUGGAACUCAGAUAAUACACAGGCUGGCUGGAUUCCCAAGCAGACAAGGAGAAAAAGAACGCCAAUGAAAAGAAUAAUGUAUUAUUUCCAGGUGAAGAAUAAGGAACAGUUCAGAGAUGUAAUUGUAAG